rnacentral:rRNA from 1 species
AAUAGAUACCCAGGUAGUCCACGCCGUAAACGAUGGAUGCUAGCUAUUGGGGGGAAUCGACCCCCUCCGAAGCGAAGCUAACGCGUUAAGCAUCCCGCCUGAGUAGUACGAGCGCAAGCUUAAAACUCAAAGGAAUUGACGGGGGACCCGCACAAGCGGUGGAGCGUGUGGUUUAAUUCGAUGGUAAAUGAAGAACCUUACCAAGGUUUGACAUCCCGGUAGCCGUUCUCCGAAAGGAGAAUUUCAUUUAGUUGGACCGGUGACAGGUGAUGCAUGGCCGUCGUCAGCUCGUGUCGUGAGAUGUUGGGUUAAGUCCCGCAACGAGCGCAACCCUUAUGAUUUAGUUGGAUUUUUCUAGUCAGACCGCCCCGGUAACGGGGAGGAAGGAGGGGAUGACGUCAGGUCAGUAUUGCCCUUACGUCUGGGGCUACAAACACGCUACAAUGGCCGGUACAAAGGGCUGCCAAGUCGCGAGACGGAGCAAAUCCCAUCAAAGCCGGUCUCAGUUCGGAUUGUAGGCUGAAACUCGCCUGCAUGAAGCUGGAAUCGCUAGUAACGGU